rnacentral:rRNA from 1 species
AUUGAACGCUGGCGGCAUGCCCUACACAUGCAAGUCGAACGGCAGCAUGAUCUAGCUUGCUAGAUUGAUGGCGAGUGGCGAACGGGUGAGUAAUACAUCGGAACGUGCCCUGUAGUGGGGGAUAACUAGUCGAAAGAUUAGCUAAUACCGCAUACGACCUGAGGGUGAAAGUGGGGGACCGCAAGGCCUCAUGCUAUAGGAGCGGCCGAUGUCUGAUUAGCUAGUUGGUGAGGUAAAGGCUCACCAAGGCGACGAUCAGUAGCUGGUCUGAGAGGACGAUCAGCCACACUGGGAACGAGACACGGCCCAGACUCCUACGGGAGGCAGCAGUGGGGAAUUUUGGACAAUGGGGGCAACCCUGAUCCAGCAAUGCCCCGUGUGUGAAGAAGGCCUUCGGGUUGUAAAGCACUUUUGUCCGGAAAGAAAUCGCACUUACUAAUAUUAGGUGUGGAUGACGGUACCGGAAGAAUAAGGACCGGCUAACUACGUGCCAGCCGCCGCAGUAACAC